GUCAGUAAAUCCCAAGCCCUGCAGGCCUGGCUCUUACUGUGGUGCUGUGACAGGAGAUCCUCCCCUGUGUCCUGCUGGCUACCACUGUCCUGAGGGAUCCUGGACCUACACCAGCCCCGAGCAGCUGUGUGUGUUCCCGUACUACUGCCCCCCGGGCAGUGCCCAGCCGGUGCCCUGCGGAGGAGGGAGCAUGGCCCUCAGCCUGCCUGGCCUCAGGGGCUCAGCUGAGACAUUCUGCAGGGUUUGUGCUGCAGGGACCUUCCGCAGUGACCCCCUGAUCUCAGCGCCCUGCCAGCCCUGCCCAGCCGGCUUCACCUGCCCACCAGGCAGUGACAGCUACCAGCAGCAGCCUUGUCCCCGUGGCCACUACUGCCCUGCCCUGUCCCCUGCCCCGCUGCCCUGUCCCCCGGGCACCCACGGGAGGAGCCCCUUUGCCAAGCACCCAGGGGACUGCCAGGCCUGUCCUGCUGGCACCUUCAAUCACCUCCCUGCCCAGCCUGCCUGCUUCCCCUGUGGCAGCUCUUCUUCCUCGCAGCCGGGUGCCACCAGCUGUACCUGCCAUGGGCUGAACAGAGCUUUCCAGCACUCAGAUGCCUCCUGCAUCUGCCAGGCAGGUUAUGUUUAUUAUGAUGAGAGAGGCAAGAAAGAUCCCGACAGCAACAGCGAUCAGGAUUGCCGACCUCAGGUAAAAUCAGGCUCUGAACCA
rnacentral:lncRNA from 1 species